AGCAGUGAUGAUUAGGUUCUAGAAUGUUGUUGGUGUCACAAUGUCUUGGCUCUGUGAUGUGGGUCGCCAGCUAUGGUGGGCUGGUCUACUGUAACUCUACAGAGAAACAUAUUCUGAGUUCCCAAGGAUGUCUUAGAGAUGAACUUGGAUUCUAGAAUCGGUUAGGAGCUGCCUGUUCUCAAAUUUAUCCCAAGGAGCUUACAAUUUUUCUGUGGCAUGAUUUUGAGUUUGCUGGCAUCGCAAGCAGCCUGAGCAAUUGCACACUGUUUGCAGCAUCCUGAAGGCAGCAGGCCGCAUGCUUAGCGCUCUGAACUUCAGAAGGAUAGGGUUUCUGAAAUGCAAAGGAGCCGGAGCAGGACUGAACUGACGUUUCAUUAUCAAGGCAGCCCUGUUUCUCUUGUAUCUUUGAAAUGAAAGUGCUCAUUUUAAGGAAAAUGAAUAUGGAUGAAGCCCAAAGUAAAGAAAGCCAGAAAUACCACCAGAAGUACAGAUUUUCAGGAUAAGAAUCUGCUAAAAGAUUGAAAGGUGACCUAGUGAUACAUAACAUCACUCUCAUCUUUGACAGCCAGGAGAAUGGCAGGAGAAGCGCUGCUUGAGGGGGGGCACAUGCAUGUUGGUGUGGGUGUGCACCUCUGUCCUUCCAUCUGCCUGAAAUGUGAUUGAGAGCAGAAAAGGAAAAGCACACUGAAGCUCAAACUGUUAAGCAAAUUUCCCUCACUUCCUGUAUUGUGGUGGACCUAAGUAGAUUAUCUAUCCACUCUGCUAAGGGAAAAUGGGAGAAUGGGCAUUGACUUUCCAAGGGAUUUUUUUUUCUUUAAGAUUUCAUUUAUUUAAUUGACAGACAGAGAUC